AAGCAGGUAGCAGAUGAAAUGUUUGCUGGUGACCAAUACUGUAUACUGUAUACUGUGGAUACAAGCACUCCUCAGAUCUUGGAGCAGACCUACACUUAGAACCAUCCCCAAAGCAAGCCCAUGAAACCUCAGCUGACCAAGCAGCUGAACCAACCAGUUCCACAUCAGUUCCCAAAGGUGUUAAAGUGAUAAAGAAAAAGAAAUGGGAGACAAG